CUAAAAAAAAGCAUAUCAACAUGUGUUCGAUUUUGCUCACAUACAGACCUAGAUGGCAGUGAAGUAACUAAGUGAGUCGUAACAUCCAGAAACCGUGCGCUGCUGCACGAUUGAGGACAGACUUUGUGUUGAGCUGAGUGUAGUGUUCAGGAAUAUUUGUGGAACUGCCCCACGAACGGAUAAAUCGCCCGAAGGCAGGCCAGACACCAGCGCCAUCCAGCUGGUGCAACUCCUUUAGGAAAUCAGCCUCGGCGAGUGAUGUCAGAGGUACGACCUGAUCUUCAGGGACUGUAGAUUCUUGUUUGUAUUGAUCAGACUUCGGCCCAGCAAUGGUAACUUUGUGUACGGUGUUCGUCCACAGUUUUCUUUCCUGCCAUGAAUAUAUAUAUCAUACGCCCAGUGUUUACGAUGGUAUGAUCG